ensembl:lncRNA CES1P1 carboxylesterase 1 pseudogene 1
GGACAGCACAGUCCCUCUGAGCUGCACGGAGACCUCGCAGGCCCCCGGAACUGUCGCCCUUCCAGGAUGUGGCUCCCUGCUCUUGUCCUGGCCACUCUCGCUGCUUCCGCGGCUUGGGGUUCACCCAAGAUCCCAAGGCGGGGCAGUUAAUCUCAGAGCUAUUUACAAACUGAAAAGAGAACAUUCCUCUCAAGCUUUCUGAAGACUGUCUUUACCUCAAUAUUUACACUCCUGCUGACUUGACCAAGAAAAACAGGCUGCCGGUGAUGGUGUGGAUCCACGGAGGGGGGCUGAUGGUGGGUGCGGCAUCAACCUACGAUGGGCUGGCCCUUGCUGCCCAUGAAAACGUGGUGGUGGUGACCAUUCAAUAUCGCCUGGGCAUCUGGGGAUUCUUCAGCACAGGGGAUGAACACAGCCCGGGGAACUGGGGUCACCUGGACCAGCUGGCUGCCCUGCACUGGGUCCAGGACAACAUUGCCAGCUUUGGAGGGAACCCAGGCUCUGUGACCAUCUUUGGAGGGUCAGUGGGAGGAGAAAGUGUCUCUGUUCUUGUUUUGUCUCCAUUGGCCAAGAACCUCUUCCACCGGGCCAUUUCUGAGAGUGGCGUGGCCCUCACUUCUGUUCUGGUGAAGAAAGGUGAUGUCAAGCCCUUGGCUGAGCAAAUUGCUAUCACUGCUGGGUGUAAAACCACCACCUCAGCUGUGAUGGUUCACUGCCUGCGACAGAAGACGGAAGAGGAGCUCUUGGAGACGACAUUGAAAAUGAAAUUCUUAUCUCUGGACUUACAGGGAGACCUCAAAGAGUUGAUCAGCUAUCCACUCUCCAAAGGGAAACUGGACCAGAAGACAGCCAUGUCACUCUUAUUGAAGUCCUAUCCCCUUCUUCACAUUCCUAAGGAACUGAUUCCAGAAGCCAUUGAGAAGUACUUAGGAGGAACAGAUGACCCUGUCAAAAAGAAAGACCUGUUCCUGGACUUAAUGGGGGAUGUGAUCUUGGGUGUCCCAUCUGUGAUUCUGGCCCAGAACCACAGAGAUGCUGGAGCACCCACCUACAUGUAUGAGUUUCAGUACCGUCCAAGCUUCUCAUCAGACAUGAAACCCAAGACGGUGAUAGGAGACCACGGGGAUGAGCUCUUCUCCGUCUUUGGGGCCCCAUUUUUAAAAGAGGGUGCCUCAGAAGAGGAGAUCAGACUUAGCAAGAUGGUGAUGAAAUUCUGGGCCAACUUUGCUCGCAAUGGAAACCCCAAUGGGGAAGGGCUGCCCCACUGGCCAGAGUACAACCAGAAGGAAGGGUAUCUGCAGAUUGGUGCCAACACCCAGGCGGCCCAGAAGCUGAAGGACAAAGAAGUAGCUUUCUGGACCAACCUCUUUGCCAAGAAGGCAGUGGAGAAGCCACCCCAGACAGAACACAUAGAGCUGUGAAUGAAGAUCCAGCCGGCCUUGGGAGCCUGGAGGAGCAAAGACUGGGGUCUUUUGCGAAAGGGAUUGCAGGUUCAGAAGGCAUCUUACCAUGGCUGGGGAAUUGUCUGGUGGUGGGGGGCAGGGGACAGAGGCCAUGAAGGAGCAAGUUUUGUAUUUGUGACCUCAGCUUUGGGAAUAAAGGAUCUUUUGAAGGCCAAA